UCCGUAGGUGAACCUCCGGAAGGAUCAUUACCGAAUGUGGGUCUUUGGGCCCAACCUCCCAUCCGUGUCUAUUGUACCCUGUUGCUUCGGCGGGCCCGCCGCUUGUCGGCCGCCGGGGGGGCGCCUCUGCCCCCCGGGCCCGUGCCCGCCGGAGACCCCAACACGAACACUGUCUGAAAGCGUGCAGUCUGAGUUGAUUGAAUGCAAUCAGUUAAAACUUUCAACAAUGGAUCUCUUGGUUCCGGCAUCGAUGAAGAACGCAGCGAGAUGCGAUAACUAAUGUGAAUUGCAGAAUUCAGUGAAUCAUCGAGUCUUUGAACGCACAUUGCGCCCCCUGGUAUUCCGGGGGGCAUGCCUGUCCGAGCGUCAUUGCUGCCCUCAAGCCCGGCUUGUGUGUUGGGUCGCCGUCCCCCUCUCCGGGGGGACGGGCCCGAAAGGCAGCGGCGGCACCGCGUCCGAUCCUCGAGCGUAUGGGGCUUUGUCACAUGCUCUGUAGGAUUGGCCGGCGCCUGCCGACGUUUUCCAACCAUUCUUUACCAGGUUGACCUCGGAUCAGGUAGGGAUACCCGCUGAACUUAAGCAUAUCAAUAAGCGG
rnacentral:rRNA from 1 species